AAUGAACGCUGGCGGCGUGCCUAACACAUGCAAGUCGAACGAGAAAGCCAAAUCUUCGGAUGGGCGAGUAAAGUGGCGCACAGGUGAGUAACGCGUAGGUAACCUACCCCUGUAUUUGGGAUAACAGUGCGAAAGUGCUGCUAAUACCGGAUACGACCCUUGAGCGGGAGCUUGGGGGUGAAAGUCGGCCUCUCGACGAAGCUGGCGUACGGGGAUGGGCCUGCGUCCUAUCAGCUGGUUGGUAGGGUAACGGCCUACCAAGGCGACGACGGGUAGCUGGUCUGAGAGGAUGAUCAGCCACACUGGCACUGGAACACGGGCCAGACUCCUACGGGAGGCAGCAGUGAGGAAUUUUGCGCAAUGGCCGCAAGGCUGACGCAGCAACGCCGCGUGGGUGAAGAAGGCCUUCGGGUCGUAAAGCCCUGUCAGGUGGGAAGAAGGACCUUUGGUCGAAUAGACUGAGGGAUUGACGGUACCACCAGAGGAAGCACCGGCUAACUCCGUGCCAGCAGCCGCGGUAAUACGGAGGGUGCGAGCGUUAUUCGGAAUUACUGGGCGUAAAGCGCGUGCAGGCGGUUUGACAAGUCUGAUGUGAAAGCCCCGGGCUUAACCUGGGAAGAGCAUUGGAAACUGUUGGACUUGAGUACUGGAGAGGAAGGGGGAAUUCCCGGUGUAGAGGUGAAAUUCGUAGAGAUCGGGAGGAAUACCAGUGGCGAAGGCGCCCUUCUGGACGGCUACUGACGCUGAGACGCGAAAGCGUGGGGAGCAAACAGGAUUAGAUACCCUGGUAGUCCACGCUGUAAACGAUGAGCACUAGGUGUAGCGGGUACUCAUUCCUGCUGUGCCGCAGCUAACGCGUUAAGUGCUCCGCCUGGGGAUUACGGUCGCAAGACUA
rnacentral:rRNA from 1 species